GUUUACCAGAAGGCGUGCGCUAACCCGCAAGGGAGGCAGCCGACCACGGUAGGGUCAGCGACUGGGGUG
rnacentral:rRNA from 1 species